AACGAACGCUGGCGGCAGGCUUAACACAUGCAAGUCGAGCGCCCCGCCCGGGGCGCGGCAGCCGGGUGAGUAACGCGUGGGAACGUACCUUUUGGUUCGGACCAACUCCGGGAAACUGGAGCUAAUACCGGAUAAGCCCUAACGGGGAAAGAUUUAUCGCCGAAAGAUCGGCCCGCGUCUGAUUAGCUCGUUGGUGAGGUAACGGCUCACCAAGGCGACGAUCAGUAGCUGGUCUGAGAGGAUGAUCAGCCACACUGGGACUGAGACACGGCCCAGACUCCUGCGGGAGGCAGCAGGGGGGAAUAUUGGACAAGGGGCGCAAGCCUGAUCCAGCCAUGCCGCGUGAGUGAUGAAGGCGUUAGGGUUGUAAAGCGCUUUUGUCCGGGAAGAUAAGGACGGUACCGGAAGAAUAAGCCCCGGCUAACUUCGU
rnacentral:rRNA from 1 species